UCCGUUAUAGUCCAGUGGUUAGGAUAUCUGGCUUUCAUUUGCAAUGGCCCCAGAAGACCCGGGUUCGAACCCCGGUAACGGAA